rnacentral:rRNA from 1 species
GAUGAACGCUGGCGGCGUGCCUAAUACAUGCAAGUCGAGCGAACAGACGAGGAGCUUGCUCCUCUGACGUUAGCGGCGGACGGGUGAGUAACACGUGGAGAACCUACCUAUAAGACUGGGAUAACUUCGGGAAACCGGAGCUAAUACCGGAUAAUAUAUUGAACCGCAUGGUUCAAUAGUGACAGACGGUUUUGCUGUCACUUAUAGAUGGAUCCGCGCCGCAUUAGCUAGUUGGUAAGGUAACGGCUUACCAAGGCAACGAUGCGUAGCCGACCUGAGAGGGUGAUCGGCCACACUGGAACUGAGACACGGUCCAGACUCCUACGGGAGGCAGCAGUAGGGAAUCUUCCGCAAUGGGCGAAAGCUUGACGGAGCAACGCCGCGUGAGUGAUGAAGGUCUUCGGAUCGUAAAACUCUGUUAUUAGGGAAGAACAAAUGUGUAAGUAACUAUGCACGUCUUGACGGUACCUACUCAGAAAGCCACGGCUAACUACGUG